CAUGGGUAAUGGAAGGGAGGUAACUCGAGUUUGACGUGUGUUGAAAUGCCAUUGACGUCGACUCAGCUUCCCUUCCUAUAACCGACUACGUCACUUACGCCGUCGGAACACCUCGAGCUAUUGCUGUACAAACAAAUGUCAAUUUCAUGCGAUUUGACGUCAUCAUUGGUCGCUUUGCCUUUAUCAUCAUCACGAGGACUCUCAAGUCUUGCCAACAGAUGACGUCUCAUCUUGAUGUACCUGCGCAGUUUCCAGGUUACAUAUCAAGAGGUGCCCGGAGACUCAGAAGUAAAAUUUAAUAUUUCGUAAUGAAACCUAUAUGUUUCAUUUAUCAUCUGAAAACCUUGCUAGUAUCUAUAUUUUUAUGGUGUCGCCACUUGAGUUUCUCGUGACACAUGUUGCCACCACAAGGCCAGUAUAACGCUCCAUGUUUACCUUAUAAAGACCUUUACAAUCGAUAGUAAUUUGUACUUUGAAGGCAUGAUAAUGCCGGCGCUAAUGUCAUCUGUACAGUUGGUACUUACUUUAAUCCGGGUGAUUUUUUAAAUCACG